AGAGUUUGAUCCUGGCUCAGAACGUACGCUGGCGGCACGCCUAACACAUGCAAGUCGAACGCAGUAGCAAUACUGAGUGGCGAACGGGUGAGUAUAAUGUAGGUAUCUGCCUUUUGGUUUGGAAUAACACGGGGAAACCUGUGCUAAUACCGGAUAAGCCUUCACAGGGAAAGUUUUAACGCCAAAAGAUGAGCCUGCACUUGAUUAGCUAGUUGGUAAGGUAAUGGCUUACCAAGGCUACGAUCAAUAGCUGAUCUGAGAGGAUGAUCAGCCACAUUGGGACUGAGACACGGCCCAAACUCCUACGGGAGGCAGCAGUGGGGAAUAUUGCACAAUGGGGGAAACCCUGAUGCAGCGAUGCCGCGUGAGUGAAGAAGGCCUUUGGGUUGUAAAGCUCUUUCGUCGGGGAAGAAAAUGACUGUACCCGAAUAAGAAGGUCCGGCUAACUUCGUGCCAGCAGCCGCGGUAAUACGAAGGGACCUAGCGUAGUUCGGAAUUACUGGGCUUAAAGAGCUCGUAGGUGGUUAGAAAAGUUGGUGGUGAAAUCCCAAGGCUUAACCUUGGAACUGCCAUCAAAACUUUUUAACUAGAGUAUGAUAGAGGAAAGUGGAAUUUCUAGUGUAGAGGUGAAAUUCGUAGAUAUUAGAAAGAACACCAAUUGCGAAGGCAGCUUUCUGGAUCAUUACUGACACUGAGGAGCGAAAGCAUGGGUAGCGAAGAGGAUUAGAUACCCUCGUAGUCCAUGCUGUAAACGAUGUGUGCUAGACGUUGGAAAUUUAUUUUUCAGUGUCGCAGCAAAAGCGAUAAGCACACCGCCUGGGGAGUACGACCGCAAGGUUAAAACUCAAAUGAAUUGACGGGGACCCGCACAAGUAGUGGAGCAUGUGGUUUAAUUCGAAGAUACGCGCAGAACCUUACCAACACUUGACAUGUUCGUCGCGACUCUAAGAGAUUAGAGUCUUCGGUUCGGCCGGACGAAACACAGGUGCUGCAUGGCUGUCGUCAGCUCGUGUCGUGAGAUGUUGGGUUAAGUCCCGUAACGAGCGCAACCCCUAUCCUUAUUUGCCAGCACGUCAUGGUGGGAACUAUAAGGAGACUGCCGGUGAUAAACCGGAGGAAGGCGGGGACGACGUCAAGUCAUCAUGGCCCUUACGACCAGGGCUACACACGUGCUACAAUGGGAAGGACAAAGAGCCGCGAAGCCGCGAGGUGUAGCUAAUCUCAGAAACCUUUUCGUAGUCCGGAUUGGAGUCUGCAACUCGACUCCAUGAAGUCGGAAUCGCUAGUAAUCGUAGAUCAGAAUGCUACGGUGAAUACGUUCCCGGGUCUUGUACACACCGCCCGUCAUACCAUGGGAGUGGGUUGCACCAGAAGUGGCUAGUCUAACUUAGUGAGGACGGUCACCACGGUGUGAUUCAUGACUGGGGUAAAGUCGUAACAAGGUAACC
rnacentral:rRNA from 1 species